CCUACGGGCGGCAGCAGUGGGGAAUAUUGCACAAUGGGCGCAAGCCUGAUGCAGCCAUGCCGCGUGUAUGAAGAAGGCCUUCGGGUUGUAAAGUACUUUCAGCGAGGAGGAAGGCAUUAUGGUUAAUAACCUUGGUGAUUGACGUUGCUCGCAGAAGAAGCACCGGCUAACUCCGUGCCAGCAGCCGCGGUAAUACGGAGGGUGCAAGCGUUAAUCGGAAUUACUGGGCGUAAAGCGCACGCAGGCGGUCUGACAAGUCGGAUGUGAAAUCCCCGGGCUCAACCUGGGAACUGCAUUCGAAACUGGCAGGCUAGAGUCUUGUAGAGGGGGGUAGAAUUCCAGGUGUAGCGGUGAAAUGCGUAGAGAUCUGGAGGAAUACCGGUGGCGAAGGCGGCCCCCUGGACAAAGACUGACGCUCAGGUGCGAAAGCGUGGGGAGCAAACAGGAUUAGAUACCCCUGUAGUC
rnacentral:rRNA from 1 species